rnacentral:rRNA from 1 species
GAUGAACGCUGGCGGCGUGCCUAAUACAUGCAAGUCGAGCGAAUGGAUUAAGAGCUUGCUCUUAUGGAGUUAGCGGCGGACGGGUGAGUAACACGUGGGUAACCUGCCCAUAAGACUGGGAUAACUCCGGGAAACCGGGGCUAAUACCGGAUAACAUUUUGAACUGCAUGGUUCGAAAUUGAAAGGCGGCUUCGGCUGUCACUUAUGGAUGGACCCGCGUCGCAUUAGCUAGUUGGUGAGGUAACGGCUCACCAAGGCAACGAUGCGUAGCCGACCUGAGAGGGUGAUCGGCCACACUGGGACUGAGACACGGCCCAGACUCCUACGGGAGGCAGCAGUAGGGAAUCUUCCGCAAUGGACGAAAGUCUGACGGAGCAACGCCGCGUGAAUGAUGAAGGCUUUCGGGUCGUAAAACUCUGUUGUUAGGGAAGAACAAGUGCUAGUUGAAUAAGCUGGCACCUUGACGGUACCUAACCAGAAAGCCACGGCUAACU